AUUGAACGCUGGCGGCAGGCCUAACACAUGCAAGUCGGACGGUAGCACAGAGGAGCUUGCUCCUCGGGUGACGAGUGGCGGACGGGUGAGUAAUGUCUGGGGAUCUGCCCGAUAGAGGGGGAUAACCACUGGAAACGGUGGCUAAUACCGCAUAACGUCGCAAGACCAAAGAGGGGGACCUUCGGGCCUCUCACUAUCGGAUGAACCCAGAUGGGAUUAGCUAGUAGGCGGGGUAACGGCCCACCUAGCCGACGAUCCCUAGCUGGUCUGAGCGGAUGACCAGCCACACUGGAACUGAGACACGGUCCAGACUCCACCGGGAGUCAGCAGUGGGGAAUAUUGCACAAUGGGCGCAAGCCUGAUGCAGCCAUGCCGCGUGUAUGAAGAAGGCCUUCGGGUUGUAAAGUACUUUCAGCGGGGAGGAAGGCGAUGUGGUUAAUAACCGCGUCGAUUGACGUUACCCGCAGAAGAAGCACCGGCUAACUCCGUGCCAGCAGCCGCGGUAA
rnacentral:rRNA from 1 species